rnacentral:rRNA from 1 species
AAUUCGAUUGAGUUUGAUCAUGGCUCAGAAUCAACGCUGGCGGCGUGCCUCAGACAUGCAAGUCGAACGCGAAAGUCCCCUUCGGGGGACAAGUAGAGUGGCGCACGGGUGAGUAACACGUAGGUAAUCUACCUUCGGAUGGGGAAUAACAAUCGGAAACGAUUGCUAAUACCGCAUAAUGCAGCGGCACCUAAUGGUGACAGUUGUUAAAGCGGGGGAUCGAAAGACCUCGCGUCUGAAGAGGAGCCUGCGGCGGAUUAGCUAGUUGGUAAGGUAAUGGCUUACCAAGGCAACGAUCCGUAACCGGCCUGAGAGGGCGGUCGGUCACACUGACACUGACAUACGGGUCAGACUCCUACGGGAGGCAGCAGUCGGGAAUUUUGGGCAAUGGGCGAAAGCCUGACCCAGCAACGCCGCGUGAAGGAUGAAAUCCCUCGGGAUGUAAACUUCGCAAGAACGGGAAGAAUAAGUAGGGGACAAUACCCCCUAUGAUGACGGUACCGUUUGUAAGCUCCGGCUAACUCCGUGCCAGCAGCCGCGGUAAUACGGGGGGAGCAAGCGUUGUUCGGAUUUACUGGGCGUAAAGGGCGCGUAGGCGGCCAGCACAAGUCAGUUGUGAAAUCUCCGAGCUUAACUCGGAAAGGUCAACUGAUACUGUGCGGCUAGAGUGCGGAAGGGGCAACUGGAAUUCUUGGUGUAGCGGUGAAAUG